rnacentral:piRNA from 1 species
UCAGGCAAUAAACUUUGCCCAACUUUGGCCC